AACGAACGCUGGCGGCGCGCCUAAUACAUGCAAGUCGAGCGAGAAGACGUAGCAAUACGUUUGUAAAGCGGCGAACGGGUGAGGAAUGCAUGGGUAACCUACCCUCGAGUGGGGAAUAACUAGCCGAAGGUUAGCUAAUACCGCGUACGCUCCUUGGACUUCGGUUCAGGGAGGAAAGCGAUACCGUGGGUAUCGCGCUCUUGGAUGGGCUCAUGUCCUAUCAGCUUGUUGGNGAGGUAACGGCUCACCAAGGCUUCGACGGGUAGCUGGUCUGAGAGGACGAUCAGCCACACUGGCACUGCGACACGGGCCAGACUCCUACGGGAGGCAGCAGUAAGGAAUAUUGCGCAAUGGGCGAAAGCCUGACGCAGCGACGCCGCGGUGGGGGAG
rnacentral:rRNA from 1 species